UACGACUGGAGGCUUAAUUCCUUCACGCCAAACUUCUCAAGUUCGAUUCCCAGUUCCAACGUUUAUGUUCUCUUGUUAUUUAACUUAACUAAUCCUAGCCGUCCAUUCCAGUUCUGAUAAUCUCAGCCCUUGUAAGUCUUAGUAUACCUGACCCUAACCUCAUCCUCACGAGAGUGCUCAUCUCCUCCAACUUUCUGCCGAUUAUGGAUGUCUUCCCUGCAUCCUCAUUUCUAUAUAUUUUUUUUCUCCAGCAACCCCUUGUGGUCCCUUUCGAUUUCUUACCCAUCUCUAAAUUUCUUUGAUUUAAAGCCUCCCUAUUUUAUAUUAUUUUUAUUUGUGUAGCUCUUAGUAUCUUUUCCAUCAACCACCGCUCUCCUCUCAUCUGCUUGUCCUUUCUCUCCUUAUUGGCCAUCGCUCUUCUCUGUGAUUUUAGGAGUUCUUAUGGCCCUAGUAUCAGCAACAAUUCUCCUUUCGCAUAAGCAAGUCACAGGACAGGAAAUGAAAUAUUAUCUGCCGUUCAAAUAUUGGCUUUUUUGGAAACACCAUUAUCUUGGAAGAUGAAGGUGUUGGUGUUCAUUCUAAUCAACUAUGCUAUAGCAACGAUGAUUGAACACGGACUCCAAACCUAUACCAACUCAAAUUACAAAAUAUGUGUUAGAAAUAUUCGUCUCCAGUUGGGUUAUGCAGCAAUUGUGCUACUUGCUUUGAUUCAUGUUAUCAGCUAUGGUGUAUUACUUUUGAGUUUAUGCGUCUACUUUGUUAUACGAUUUGCACGCAAUCCAUAUCAAGACUUAUGUUUAUUAGUAGGCGAAGAUUUGCAGUACUUAAAGGUGCUAGUUGAAGAUGAAAUCCAAAGGCUAUUUGGCAGGGAGGAGAGAGACACUGAGGAGAGAGACACUGAAAAUGUCUAGUUGGGUAUAUCACUCUAGUAAACCUGAUUUGUCUUUAAAAGUUUAGAUUUCUCUAUAAAAUGUAUGAUUUUAGCAAUAAUUAUAAUAGUUUAAAUGUGAUAGUUUAGUCCAUAUUAAUGUAUCUGAGUUUUAGAAUUAAUAUUUGAGUUGGAGAAUUUUGAAA